AUAUAUAUAUAUAUAUAUUAAAAAAAUGGUUAAAAGUCCAGCUUACCUCUGUGGUUCUUAAAAGAGUUUGGAGCCAAGACCAAACACCCACCUUCUUCUUUCUGUAUCUGUAUACCACUCUUUCUGUAGCUCACCCUACCUUUUAUUACCUAUUAACAGGUGAGUUCUCUGUCACGCUCUGCUUCCUCUUCUCUAUGUCUGUGCUCCUUUUUGGUUUUGUACGGUCUUGCACGUUUCUAUUUUCUGCCUGUGAUCAGUUUUGUGUUCUCUGACACUUUCUCAACCACCUUGACCUUCUUCCUUCAUCUCCUAUUGUUCAUUCCUGGAUCCCACCUUCUCCAUCUGUUGUUGUGGUUACCGUUACAAGGAAGAAGAGUGUAGAUACGAAUGUGUGUAUGUGUCACUGGUGUGUGUGUAUGUGUGGGGAGGUGAAUCCUAAGUUCAAAGUCCUACAUGUCCUUGAAGUUCAGGAGGUGGCUUUGGGCUAGUUGUCGUCUCCCAACAGAGCUUAUCUCACAAGGGUUUUGUGGGGAUAAAUUGAGGAGGGACUCUCCUGUCAAUCUUCCUGAGCUUUCAGAGAAGAAAUGAGUUAUAAGCAUAAAAAAAAUAAAAAAAAAUUUUUUUUCCCAUUGUGUAGUGGAAAUUAUACUUCUUUGAAAGAGAUAUUAAUAUAGUCUUUAUGGUAAAACAGUUGUUCCUGGACACAGAAGAUCUUUAUAAUUACAAGAUAGUCUCUAAUCUUCCAGUCGUGAGUAAGGAGAUUGAAAAGUGAAGACCUCAUCGCUCCAGAUGCAUCUGGGAGAAAGUGAUUAUCUGUACUCAUUUCCAUUUCACCCCAGAUAUGAUUUUGAGGCUUCCUUUGGUCACCCAGGUGGAUGACCUAAGCCAGAAACUAAAUGGAGGCAGUGCAACAUGGUUGGUUCUAAUAUGUUCAAUCCCAACUUUCAUAACUUCUGAGACUAAUUUAUAUGCUUAGAUGCACCCGAUAGAUGCUGUUGAGAAAUUAAUGUCAGCCCCAAGUUAUUGACCUGCAUUAUCUCAUUGGGUUCUGUCUUGUCCCUAAACUAUUUAACAUCUACACGAAAUCACUGGGUAUAAUCACCAGCAGCUCUGGGGUGGAGUGUCACCAAUGUGUUCAUGAAGCUCUGUUGCUCCUUACCAUUAGCAGUUUGCACCCUUAAAUGUUGCUUAAAUUUGAUAAUCUCCUUGGAGGAGCUGAACACGCCGAUACUAAAUCCAGACAAAAUACUGUUAGGAGAAAGUUGGACAUGGACUUUGGGUGAGUUGCACUCCCUCAGAAAGCUCACUGGACAUGCCGAUGACAGCUGUGGCAAGAAGCAUAUUUGCACAACAACUAGUGAGCCAGCUAUGACCCUUCCUGAACCCUCCAGAUUUUACAUCCUGUCUGAACUAUUGCAGUAAGCUUUACUUGGGA